UAGGCGUAAAUGAUGCGAGUUAAGUGUGGGGGCAUCUACGAGAUGGCCCUGUGCUGUAGGGUAGCCGUUAAACUCGCUGCCUGGGGAGUACGGUCGCAAGGCUGAAACUUAAAGGAAUUGGCGGGGGGAGCACCACAAGAGGUGGAGGCUGCGGUUCAAUUGGACUCAACGCCGGAAACUCAUCGGAUAAGACAGCUGAAUGAUUGUCAAUCUGAAGGUUUUACAUGACCAGCUGAGAGGAGGUGCAUGGCGUCAGUGACU
rnacentral:rRNA from 1 species